rnacentral:rRNA from 1 species
GAUGAACGCUGACAGAAUGCUUAACACAUGCAAGUCUUUGGCGAAUCUGUGCUUGCACAGGCUAGCCAAGGCGGACGGGUGAGUAACGCGUAAAGAAAUUGCCCUGCAGACAGGGAUAACAGACGGAAACGACUGAUAAUACCUGAUACAGUUGCCGGCACGCAUGUGCCUGGCAAUGAAAAGAGAUGCUGCAGGAGAGCUUUGCGUCCUAUUAGGCUGUUGGUGAGGUGACGGCUCACCAAGGCGAUGAUAGGUAGCCGGCCUGAGAGGGUGAACGGCCACAAGGGGACUGAGAUACGGCCCUUACACCUACGGGAGGCAGCAGUGGGGAAUAUUGGACAAUGGGGGCAACCCUGAUCCAGCAAUUCUGUGUGCACGAAGAAGGUUUUCGGAUUGUAAAGUGCUUUCAGCAGGGAAGAAGAAAGUGACGGUACCUGCAGAAGAAGCGACGGCUAAAUACGUG